CCUACGGGUGGCAGCAGUGAGGAAUAUUGGUCAAUGGGCGCGAGCCUGAACCAGCCAAGUAGCGUGAAGGAUGACUGCCCUACGGGUUGAAAACUUCUUUUAUAAAGGAAUAAAGUGAGGCACGUGUGCCCUUGUGUAUGUACGUUAUGAAUAAGGAUCGGCUAAGUCCGUGCCAGCAGCCGCGGUAAUACGGAGGAUCCGAGCGUUAUCCGGAUUGGUUGGGUGUAAAGGGAGCGUAGAUGGGUUGUUAAGUCAGUUGUGAAAGUUCGUGGCUCAACCGUAAAAUUGCAAUUGAUACUGGCAGUCUUGAGUACAGUAGAGGUAGGCGGAAUUCGUGGUGUAGCGGUGAAAUGCUUAGAUAUCACGAAGAACUCCGAUUGCGAAGGCAGCUUACUAAACUGCCACUGACAUUGAAGCGCGAAAGUGUGGGUAUCAAACAGGAUUAGAUACCCUUGUAGUC
rnacentral:rRNA from 1 species